UGAAGCCUAGCGAUAUGUAAGUUAGUGGCGGACGGGUGAGUAACGCGUGGGUAACCUGCCUUGUACUGGGGGACAACAGUUGGAAACGACUGCUAAUACCGCAUAAGCGCACAGCUUCGCAUGAAGCAGUGUGAAAAACUCCGGUGGUACAAGAUGGACCCGCGUCUGAUUAGCUGGUUGGUGAGGUAACGGCCCACCAAGGCGACGAUCAGUAGCCGGCCUGAGAGGGUGAACGGCCACAUUGGGACUGAGACACGGCCCAAACUCCUACGGGAGGCAGCAGUGGGGAAUAUUGCACAAUGGGGGAAACCCUGAUGCAGCAACGCCGCGUGAGUGAAGAAGUAUUUCGGUAUGUAAAGCUCUAUCAGCAGGAAAGAAAAUGACGGUACCUGACUAAGAAGCCCCGGCUAACUACGUGCCAGCAGCCGCGGUAAUACGUAGGGGGCAAGCGUUAUCCGGAUUUACUGGGUGUAAAGGGAGCGUAGACGGUUUUGCAAGUCUGAAGUGAAAACCCGGGGCUUAACCCCGGGACUGCUUUGGAAACUGUAGGACUAGAGUGCAGGAGAGGUAAGUGGAAUUCCUAGUGUAGCGGUGAAAUGCGUAGAUAUUAGGAGGAACACCAGUGGCGAAGGCGGCUU
rnacentral:rRNA from 1 species